CAGGCCUUCCUAAUCCUCAUUUGUGGGUGGCAGUGGGCAUGGUGAAUCCUGAAGAUGCUAAUGUAGGCCUUUGUCUCUGUUGCUUUUAUGUAACUGAACCUCAGAAGGUCCUUGGAGACAGACUAGAAUUUGGGAACAGUUUCUGAAUUGUUCUUGGAACUCUUCUCUUGCUAUUUCUUUUACACACAGCAGUGAGGUUCUUUCUCGUGAGAUAGAAGACACCAGAUAGAUCUUCUUUAUUGCUACUGUACGAUGAUGAAUGUGUUUUUAAUUCUGUGGGCACUACACUCCAUGUAUCCAAGGAAUGAGUGUGUGUUGGGCCUGUUUGAGGAGCCAAGUACUGACUAAGUCCUUGGAUCAGAAAAUAAACAGUCUGGCUUCUGCUUGCUUGAGCUUAACAUUUGUGUUGGGGU